UCCCAGUGCAGUUUGUCGAUGCACUCCC
rnacentral:sRNA from 1 species